UGUGGAAUAUUUACCAGCAUUCGUAAUGCUUCGCUCAAUAAUACCUGAUCCAUCCUCUCCUGCACCAUCCAGCAGCCGGAAGCUACAAAAGAGCUCAGUGAUCAAUCGUCCUGACUUGUGGAAACCUACAGAUCUCGGCUGAUGGUAUACAAAAUAAACGGGUUCAAACACUCUGCCGGCAAGGUAGUUGGAGUUUGUACGUUAAACAGCAAUUUCAAUGCUCGACAAUUAUUAAAUGCGACAUGGCUCUGGAUUUCGGAAGUUGGCUGGAAUUUGUUGCUUUACAGGUGAUGUAAAAUGGGAUUUUGGGAUUGAAUGGAGAGCGAUCGGAAGUUGAGGUUGCAAAUUUUCAUGGUCAACUGAUUUCUUCCAGCUCAAGUGGCGUUUUUGGACGUCUUCAUUCUGGAGAAGGUGUAACAAUGCUUCCGUUCAAGCAUCGUAACAAGGAUGAGUUACCGCAUGCUGUUUCUCAUUCCAGUGAGAAUUCUUGACUGCUGAAAUUUAGUUGUAAAUCAGCUCGGGAUGGUGACUUCAUUACCAGGAACACUUAACUUGACAAAGUACUCAAUUAUUGGAGAAUGGCAAAUUCAUAAUCAGCGGUGACGAAUUAGUAGUUCGUGCACAUUUGGACAACUGUGUGCACGAAGUAGUAGUUCGUGUUGAUGUGCUGAAUAAAAUCAUGUUGCAGCAAUGUGCGCCUGCAUGUCAACAUGUGCUCCCUGGUGAAAAAAUCGUAUAAAAUUUUCGCUCGGAAUACAGCCUUGAGA